GUCCUUCUGAUGCGGUACGAGCACAGGCACUUGUUUCUAUCCAUAGGAAGGUCGAUUAUCCAUAUAAAUAGUUUUAUAUGGAUAGUCGACCUUCCUAUGGAUAGAAACAAGUGCAUGUGGGUACGAGAUAACUACAAUUCUCAUGCAAUCCCGAAAAGGGGGUCAUCACAGACAAACAUGACAUUAAAUCGUUAUCACUGAACUAGUAUAUAUAUUGUAUAGGGGCCAGCUGAAGGACGCCUCCGGGUGCGGGAAUUUUUCGCUGCAUUGAAGACCUGUUGGUGACCUUAAUUCUGCUGUUGUAUGUUUUUCUAUGGUCGGGUUGUUGUCUCUUUGACAAAUUCCCCAUUUCCAUUCUCAAUUUUAUUAUACGAACAAGAACAAACAGCUCUACGUUGCUUUGAUAUUUAUCAAUUUUCAGGAAACAUUGCGAAAAUGAUCUUCAAUAUUUCGAAAACAUGUGAAAUAAAAUUGCUAACACGGUGGACCGUCGAGUGUCAACAAACGUAGUAGACUUGUUCACUGAAAAGACGAGGAUAAUGGUUUCAUCUGACAAGUCACAUUUGUUAUGCAAACCCAGUUUUGAUCAUGAUAUUUAAAAAGACGUACUUUUUUUCAAUCUAUGUAUUAAUAAACUAGAAAAUUCCAAAUUGUAAAUAUCUCUUCAUCUGGACCGACUUGGCAUCUACUACGUUUGGACGGGUCCAUUUCAUUAGUAAAGGUGAUCGAUAAAUAUUACGGAGUUUUGACAGAAAAGGAAAACGAACUUAUUGUUAUGUGUUUUCAACAAGGGUUUCGUUCCGCUAAAUUAUUUGCGCAAAUAAAGUUUGUCUAUUUUUAGAUUACAGGUAAUAAUUUGACACUACGCAUUAACCUGUGUAGUGAUUUUGAUUUUAC
rnacentral:lncRNA from 1 species